rnacentral:rRNA from 1 species
ACACAUGCAAGUCGAGGGGCAGCAUGGCUCUUAGCUUGCUAAGGCCGAUGGCGACCGGCGCACGGGUGAGUAACACGUAUCCAACCUGCCGUCUACUCUUGGACAGCCUUCUGAAAGGAAGAUUAAUACAAGAUGGCAUCAUGAGUCCGCAUGUUCACAUGAUUAAAGGUAUUCCGGUAGACGAUGGGGAUGCGUUCCAUUAGAUAGUAGGCGGGGUAACGGCCCACCUAGUCUUCGAUGGAUAGGGGUUCUGAGAGGAAGGUCCCCCACAUUGGAACUGAGACACGGUCCAAACUCCUACGGGAGGCAGCAGUGAGGAAUAUUGGUCAAUGGGCGAGAGCCUGAACCAGCCAAGUAGCGUGAAGGAUGACUGCCCUAUGGGUUGUAAACUUCUUUUAUAAAGGAAUAAAGUCGGGUAUGGAUACCCGUUUGCAUGUACUUUAUGAAUAAGGAUCGGCUAACUCCGUGCCAGCAGCCGCGGUAAUACGGAGGAUCCGAGCGUUAUCCGGAUUUAUUGGGUUUAAAGGGAGCGUAGAUGGAUGUUUAAGUCAGUUGUGAAAGUUUGCGGCUCAACCGUAAAAUUGCAGUUGAUACUGGAUAUCUUGAGUGCAGUUGAGGCUGGCGGAAUUCGUGGUGUAGCGGUGAAAUGCUUAGAUAUCACGAAGAACUCCGAUUGCGAAGGCAGCCUGCUAAGCUGCAACUGACAUUGAGGCUCGAAAGUGUGGGUAUCGAACAGGAUUAGAUACCCUGGUAGUCCACACGGUAAACGAUGAAUACUCGCUGUUUGCGAUAUACGGCAAGCGGCCAAGCGAAAGCGUUAAGUAUUCCACCUGGGGAGUACGCCGGCAACGGUGAAACUCAAGGGAAUUGACGGGGGCCCGCACAAGCGGAGGAACAUGUGGUUUAAUUCGAUGAUACGCGAGGAACCUUACCCGGGCUUAAAUUGCAGAUGAAUUACGGUGAAAGCCGUAAGCCGCAAGGCAUCUGUGAAGGUGCUGCAUGGUUGUCGUCAGCUCGUGCCGUGAGGUGUCGGCUUAAGUGCCAUAACGAGCGCAACCCUUGUUGUCAGUUACUAACAGGUUCUGCUGAGGACUCUGACAAGACUGCCAUCGUAAGAUGUGAGGAAGGUGGGGAUGACGUCAAAUCAGCACGGCCCUUACGUCCGGGGCUACACACGUGUUACAAUGGGGGGUACAGAGGGCCGCUACCACGCGAGUGGAUGCCAAUCCCCAAAACCUCUCUCAGUUCGGACUGGAGUCUGCAACCCGACUCCACGAAGCUGGAUUCGCUAGUAAUCGCGCAUCAGCCACGGCGCGGUGAAUACGUUCCCGGGCCUUGUACACACCGCCCGUCAAGCCAUGGGAGCUGGGGGUACCUGAAGUGCGUAACCGCGAGGAGCGCCCUAGGGUAAAACUGGUGACUGGGGCUAAGUAA